GCAAAAUUGCAGGGGGACUCGAAAGAGUUGAGAAGGUAAAACCUGACCCUUUGAACCUGUUAGUUAAUACUGACGUAGGGAGCAACAAACAUCGAUUU
rnacentral:ncRNA from 2 species